GAUGAACGCUAGCGGCAGGCCUAACACAUGCAAGUCGAGGGAGAAGCCCUUCGGGGCAGAAACCGGCGCACGGGUGCGUAACGCGUAUGCAACCUACCUUUCACAGGGGGAUAGCCCGAAGAAAUUUGGAUUAAUACCCCAUAAUAUUAUUGGAUGGCAUCAUUUGAUAAUUAAAAUUACGAUGGUGAAAGAUGGGCAUGCGUCCUAUUAGCUAGUUGGAGUGGUAACGGCACCCCAAGGCUACGAUAGGUAGGGGUCCUGAGAGGGAGAUCCCCCACACUGGUACUGAGACAGGGACCAGACUCCUACGGGAGGCAGCAGUGAGGAAUAUUGGUCAAUGGUCGGAAGACUGAACCAGCCAUGCCGCGUGCAGGAAGAAUGCCUU
rnacentral:rRNA from 1 species